rnacentral:rRNA from 1 species
UACGAAGGGGGCUAGCGUUGUUCGGAAUUACUGGGCGUAAAGCGUGCGCAGGCGGUUUCUCAAGUCAAGGGUGAAAGCCCGGAGCUCAACUCCGGAACUGCCUUUGAAACUGUGGGGCUCGAGUGCGGGAGAGGUGAGUGGAAUUCCCAGUGUAGAGGUGAAAUUCGUAGAUAUUGGGAAGAACACCGGUGGCGAAGGCGACUUACUGGUCCGAUACUGACGCUGAGGUACGAAAGCGUGGGGAGCAAACAGG